CCUACGGGAGGCAGCAGUGAGGAAUAUUGGUCAAUGGACGCAAGUCCGAACCAGCCAUGCCGCGUGCAGGAAGACGGCUCUAUGAGUUGUAAACUGCUUUUGUACGAGGGUAAACGCAGAUACGCGUAUCUGGCUGAAAGUAUCGUACGAAUAAGGCUCGGCUAACUCCGUGCCAGCAGCCGCGGUAAUACGGAGGAUUCAAGCGUUAUCCGGAUUUAUUGGGUUUAAAGGGUGCGUAGGCGGUCGGAUAAGUUAGAGGUGAAAUCCCGAGGCUCAACUUCGGAAUUGCCUCUGAUACUGUUCGGCUAGAGAGUAGUUGCGGUAGGCGGAAUGUAUGGUGUAGCGGUGAAAUGCUUAGAGAUCAUACAGAACACCGAUUGCGAAGGCAGCUUACCAAGCUACUUCUGACGUUGAGGCACGAAAGCGUGGGGAGCAAACAGGAUUAGAUACCCUUGUAGUC
rnacentral:rRNA from 1 species